AAUGGGUCAGCGACUUAUAUUCUGUAGCAAGGUUAACCGUAUAGGGGAGCCGGAGGGAAACCGAGUCUUAACCGGGCGUUAAGUUGCAGGGUAUAGACCCGAAACCCGGUGAUCUAGCCAUGGGCAGGUUGAAGGUUGGGUAACACUAACUGGAGGACCGAACCGACUAAUGUUGAAAAAUUAGCGGAUGACCUGUGGCUGGGGGUGAAAGGCCAAUCAAACCGGGAGAUAGCUGGUUCUCCCCGAAAGCUAUUUAGGUAGCGCCUCGUGAAUUCAUCUCCGGGGGUAGAGCACUGUUUCGGCUAGGGGGCCAUCCCGGCUUACCAACCCGAUGCAAACUGCGAAUACCGGAGAAUGUUAUCACGGGAGACACACGGCGGGUGCUAACGUCCGUCGUGAAGAGGGAAACAACCCAGACCGCCAGCUAAGGUCCCAAAGUCAUGGUUAAGUGGGAAACGAUGUGGGAAGGCCCAGACAGCCAGGAUGUUGGCUUAGAAGCAGCCAUCAUUUAAAGAAAGCGUAAUAGCUCACUGGUCGAGUCGGCCUGCGCGGAAGAUGUAACGGGGCUAAACCAUGCACCGAAGCUGCGGCAGCGAACGUAUCACCCAAGACAACUUUACGGAGUUGACGAUUGACGGAGCGAAGCGACGUCAAAGCGUUCAUUAAAGUCGAGUUGGCUUAGGGAUACGUUCGUUGGGUAGGGGAGCGUUCUGUAAGCCUGUGAAGGUGUGUCGUGAGGCAUGCUGGAGGUAUCAGAAGUGCGAAUGCUGACAUAAGUAACGAUA
rnacentral:rRNA from 1 species